GUCAGCCAUGAAGGAAUUAUAAAAGAUUAUGACACUUUGGCAACCACCAAAAAUGUACAGAAAACAGAUGCCAAGGCGAAUUUAUUACAGGUGACAGCAAACACAUAUAAGUAAAACCCUACAUGUAUUUGUUGUUGCGUUUGGUGCAAGCAUCAUGUCAAAAUCAGCUGUUCAUUUGUAGUAUGAUUUACUUGUGAAACAGAAAUAGUCACAAAAUAAAAAGUCGCUACAUUUCCCAGAGUUCAUUGAAGAUUGUAGCUUAUGUGCAAGGUGGAUUUAUUAUGUGUGAAUUAAUUUGCCACGGGCUUGCAUAAGGAGAAAUUGAAUGUGGAGAGUGAAGUUUGGACGCGGAAAAGCUCAAAAUAGAGAAACAUAACGCAAAAAAACUUCGAAACAAGGGCAAAAUUAAAGUCUCACUGCGUACAGAAAGUAAUCAUAUUGAUGGCUAUCAGAAAUACACUUUGGCUGCUAAUGACUAUGAUGACUUCAUACUAAAUACUGUUGAGAUGCGCAUACCAUAUUGCAUAAAAAAGUUUGCUUCAUGUUUUUUGUGGAAAAUCGAUCGCUAUGAUUGACAUCUAAAACUGAACACUUAAAAAUUCUGGAUAACAAUUUUGUAACAUGCUUGUGAUUCAUUUUAUAUAAUUCAACUUGAUUGAUUUUAUAGCCUGUAUUUAGACCAUAAGUUCAUGAUCAUUGAAAAAUUGAUUAAAA